rnacentral:rRNA from 1 species
AUGGCGCUGACCGUCGUCGUGGUGCUGCCCUCGCCACCGCCGCCCCCGCCGGAGCACAUCGUCGUCGUGGUGCUGCCCUCGCCGCCGCCGCCGCCUCCGCCGCCCCCGCCGGUGAGGAUCGUCGUCGUGGCGCCGACGCUCGUGCGCUUCGCCCGCGUCCUCUGCGUCGCGGCGGGAGUCCUCAUCUUCCUGAACUUGGCGGCUGUGUGGAUCAUGUCUGUGGCCACGGCUGCAGAGGUCGUCGCGCGCCGCGCCUGGGGCGAGGGCUCCGCGCCAGCCCUGUUCCUCCAGGCGGUCAUGUACGGGGCCCUCAAGGUCUGCGUCUGCAUCAUCCUUGCGGUGCUCGUGAUUGUCGUCCUGCGGCUGUGCGUGGCCUACGUGAUUGCAGCUGUAUCUGGAUCCACUUCGGGAUUCAGGAAGAGCACCUUCGGAGGAAUCAGGCCAGAGUUGACUGCACACUUGUUUAGGCUUCUGCGCCCCGUGGUGCUUGGAUUUGUCGUGGAUAUGGCCUUUCUCCUGCUAAUAGUCAUUGGUCUUCUGGUAGAGAUGAUGUCGCCACAUGUGGAGGGAUCGAUAUCUCAGGGAGAAAUGGUUGGUUCGGUGAUCAUGGAUGUGGGGACAUUUGGUUUUCACGCGACAGCUUGCUUUCUUAUCAUCCCAGCUCUCGUUCUUAGUUUUUGGAGGGAGCGCUAG